AACGAACGUUAGCGGCGCGCUUAACACAUGCAAGUCGAACGAGAAAGGGAGCAAUCCCCGGUAAAGUGGCGCACGGGUGAGUAACACGUAGGUAACCUACCCCUUGGCGGGGGAUAACCUUCCGAAAGGAGGGCUAAUACCGCAUAUGACCACGUCUGCGUGAGCAGAUGAGGUAAAGCUGGCCUCUUCAUGAACGCUGGCACCGAGGGAUGGGCCUGCGCCCCAUCAGCUAGUUGGUAGGGUAAUGGCCUACCAAGGCCGAGACGGGUAGCUGGUCUGAGAGGAUGAUACGCCACACUGGAACUGAGACACGGUCCAGACUCCUACGGGGGGCUGCAGUCGAGGAUCAUUCGCAAUGCGCGAAAGCGUGACGAUGCGACGCUGCGUGGAGGAUGAAGGCUUUCGGGUUGUAAACUCCUGUCAUGAGAGAACAAGGUCUCCGGCAAGAACACGGCCGGAGGCAUGAUGGUAUCUCAAGAGGAAGUCACGGCUAACUCUGUGCCAGCAGCCGCCGUAACAC
rnacentral:rRNA from 1 species